rnacentral:rRNA from 1 species
UACAGAGGUCCCAAGCGCUGUUCGGAUUCAUUGGGCGUAAAGGGUGCGUAGGUGGCGCCGUAAGUGGGGUGUGAAAUUUCGGAGCUUAACUCCGAAACUGCAUUCCAUACUGCGGUGCUUGAGGACUGGAGAGGAGACUGGAAUUUACGGUGUAGCAGUGAAAUGCGUAGAGAUCGUAAGGAAGACCAGUGGCGAAGGCGGGUCUCUGGACAGUUCCUGACACUGAGGCACGAAGGCCAGGGGAGCAAACGGG